rnacentral:rRNA from 1 species
CACUCCUACGGGAGGCAGCAGUGGGGAAUAUUGGACAAUGGGCGCAAGCCUGAUCCAGCCAUGCCGCGUGAGUGAUGAAGGCCCUAGGGUUGUAAAGCUCUUUCACCGGUGAAGAUAAUGACGGUAACCGGAGAAGAAGCCCCGGCUAACUUCGUGCCAGCAGCCGCGGUAAUACGACGGGGGCUAGCGUUGUUCGGAUUUACUGGGCGUAAAGCGCACGUAGGCGGACUAUUAAGUCAGGGGUGAAAUCCCGGGGCUCAACCCCGGAACUGCCUUUGAUACUGGUAGUCUUGAGUUCGAGAGAGGUGAGUGGAAUUCCGAGUGUAGAGGUGAAAUUCGUAGAUAUUCGGAGGAACACCAGUGGCGAAGGCGGCUCACUGGCUCGAUACUGACGCUGAGGUGCGAAAGCGUGGGGAGCAAACAGGAUUAGAUACCCUUGUAGUCCCAUGA